CCUCUCUCUCUCUUUCUACUCAAACAAUCAGACCACAACACAAAAACAAAACCCUAACUUUUCUCUUCUUUAUCUCGCCUCUCUCUCUCUCUCUCCCCUGUAGCAGCCGCAGACCUCCCAGCCACCUCCGGCGACCUCACCCACCUAUCCUUUCUUUUCUCUUUCUUCCUCUCCGGCGGCCUAGACAUAUGGAGCGCCUCCCCUCUCUCUGUGCCCAGAUGCGCGUCGCCUCUCUCUCUGCCCAGAUGCGCUGCAAAUCCUAGUAAUGUUGGUUUGACAGCAAUGCGUUCUUAUUUUUUAUGGAGAAAUAAACACUUAAGUCCACUAAUGUUGAAACUGCAUUUUUGACCUGCCAUAAGGUCAAGCCUAGCAGUGAUCUUCUAUGGCGUGCGCAGGUUGUCAUGUGUAAUUCUUUGUAGGAAAAUGAAGCUUUUUUUUAUAUGGUGUGAGCUUACAUUUUGUGCUCGCUUACUUGAAAUUAAUAACAAGGAGAGUAUUGUCUCUACCCAGAAAUAAAAUAUUUUUCUUUGCAAGCUGACAGUGACUGUGGCGAUUUAAGAUUUCUGAGUUCGUGGUUUUGGCCGGGAUUGAAGAGGCAAUGUUUGGAUUGGAUAAUUUAUUUAUUUUUUGUUGUUGUAUUGUUCAUACCAAAUUUCUUGGUUUGUAGUCAUAUUUUUUUUUUUACUGUUAUUGUAUUUUGUUUAUGUAUUUUAUUUAAAUUAUACUUGUAUUUUUUUAAUCACUUAUUCUGUAUUACUAUUAAUUAUAAUAUAAUUAUUUAUGUGUA